CCCCUGGAGGACUAGUGGUUAGGCCACAGCACUCUCAGCGCUGCGGUCUGGGUUUGAUUCCCAGCCAGGGAA